AUACGUAGGUGACAAGCGUUAUCCGGAUUUACUGGGCGUAAAGGGCGUGUAGGCGGUCUUGCAAGUCAGAAGUGAAAUUCCUGAGCUCAACUCGGGCGCUGCUUCUGAAACUGCAGGACUUGAGUGCUGGAGGGGAUAGCGGAAUUCCUAGUGGAGCGGUAAAAUGCGCAGAUAUUAGGAAGAACACCGGUGGCGAAGGCGGCUAUCUGGACAGUAACUGACGCUGAGGCGCGAAAGCGUGGGGAGCAAACAGGAUUAGAUACCCUGGUAGUCCACGCCGUAAACGAUGAGUGCUAAGUGUUGGAGGGUUUCCGCCCUUCAGUGCUGCAGCUAACGCAUUAAGCACUCCGCCUGGGGAGUACGGCCGCAAGGCUGAAACUCAAAUGAAUUGACGGGG
rnacentral:rRNA from 1 species